rnacentral:rRNA from 1 species
GAUGAACGCUAGCUCCAGGCUUAACACAUGCAAGUCGAGGGGAAACGGCAUCGAAAGCUUGCUUUUGAUGGGCGUCGACCGGCGCACGGGUGAGUAACGCGUAUCCAACCUACCCAUCACUUGGGAAUAACCUUGCGAAAGUAAGACUAAUGCCCAAUGACAUCCCACGAAGGCAUCCGAAUGGGAUUAAAGAUUUAUCGGUGAUGGAUGGGGAUGCGUCUGAUUAGCUUGUUGGCGGGGUGACGGCCCACCAAGGCAACGAUCAGUAGGGGUUCUGAGAGGAAGGUCCCCCACAUUGGAACUGAGACACGGUCCAAACUCCUACGGGAGGCAGCAGUGAGGAAUAUUGGUCAAUGGGCGAGAGCCUGAACCAGCCAAGUAGCGUGCAGGAUGACGGCCCUAUGGGUGGUAAACUGCUUUUAUAAGGGAAUAAAGUGGGUCACGUGUGACUUUUUGCAUGUACCUUAUGAAUAAGGACCGGCUAAUUCCGUG